UUGAAAAAUAACCUUGAGAGAGUCCAUCCCUCUAACUCCAGGUUCUUUGAACUGACUGCACCAUGGACUACACCAUAGUCAAGCCAUAGUGACCCCUGUGACCUACACAUCCACCUCCAGAUGGCCUCCUGGAGUCAGAAAGUCUAAGGAACUUCUUGAAGAACCAUUCUAAUGUCCAUUGUGUGACAUCUGCACCACACCGAUCUGACAAAUGAAAGUGGUGAGAUGCAGCUACGGGCUGGCUGAGACCCAAAAA